CUACGGGGGGCUCCAGUGAGGAAUAUUGCACAAUGGGGGGAACCCUGAUGCAGCAACGCCGCGUGGAGGAUGACGCAUUUCGGUGCGUAAACUCCUUUUAUAUGUCAAGAAAAUGACGGUAGCAUAUGAAUAAGCGCCGGCUAACUCCGUGCCAGCAGCCGCGGUAAUACGGAGGGCGCAAGCGUUACUCGGAAUCACUGGGCGUAAAGGACGCGUAGGCGGGUUGAAAAGUCAGGUGUGAAAGCCUACAGCUUAACUGUAGAACUGCACUUGAAACUCUCAACCUAGAGUAUGGGAGGGGCAGAUGGAAUUAGUGGUGUAGGGGUAAAAUCCGUAGAUAUCACUAGGAAUACCUAAAGCGAAGGCGAUCUGCUGGAACAUUACUGACGCUAAGGCGUGAAAGCGUGGGGAGCAAACAGGAUUAGAUACCCUGGUAGUC
rnacentral:rRNA from 1 species